UAUAUUAUUCUCACAAGACAGUUCAUACCUUUUGUCACCGCUUCUCUGGAUCACGUUUCAGUCGAAAAGGGUAGCUUAUGUUUUGGAUUUCGCCACACGAUGAAGGUUCACACCUAUGAUGAUCAUCAUCCUUGGCACUGAAAGUUCCACAGUACAAGCCAAGAACUGUUACAAGGACUAUGAGUCGUGAUGGAACUGAUACUCUUCCUGCAGCCAUUGCAAGACGAGAUUAGGAGAAAAAGAGAGUGGGAGGUUUCCAGCACAACUGCAGCUUCCUUUGUUACAGACAAGGAUCCUUUGAUUAUAUUACAACACUUUGAUUAUUUUAUACUAGCAUACUUUGAUAUUAUGAUAUUUUUGAUUCAUCGACUUUGCUAAGUCG
rnacentral:lncRNA from 1 species